rnacentral:rRNA from 1 species
AUGCUGCAGGAGGAUGGGGGUAUUGAUGAAGAUGUGAACCAUCGAAUCAAAGCCGGAUGGAUGAAGUGGCGCCAAGCUUCUAGCAUUCUGUGUGAAAAGAGAGUGCCACAAAAGCUAAAAGGCAAGUUCUACAGGACAGCGGUUCGACCCGCAAUGUUGUAUGGCGCUGAGUGUUGGCCGACUAAAAGGCGACAUGUUCAACAGUUAGGUGUGGCGGAGAUGCGUAUGUUGAGAUGGAUGUGUGGCCACACGAGGAAGGAUCGAGUCCGGAAUGAUGAUAUACGAGAUAGAGUUGGGGUAGCACCAAUUGAAGAGAAGCUUGUCUAA